rnacentral:lncRNA from 1 species
GACAUUCACACUCUGCCCCUGCAUCGGCUGCCUUUGGGGCCAAAUACUUUUGUGAAAAUUAAGACAGAAGGCCGGGUGCGGUGGUUCACGCGUGUAAUCCCAGCACUUUUGGAGGCCGAGGCAGGCGGAUCACGAGGUCAAGAGAUGGAGACCAUCCUGGCCCACAUGGUGAAACCCUGUUUCUACUAAAAAUACAAAAAUAGGCAGGGCGUGGUGGCUCACGCUUGUAAUCCCAGCACUUUGGGAGGCUGAGGCGGGCAGAUCACGAGCUCAGGAGAUCGAAAUCAUCCUGGCUAAUACGGUGAAACCCCGUCUCUACUAAAAAUACAAAAAAUUAGCCGGGUGUGGUGGCACGUGCCUGUAGUCUCAGCUACUCAGGAGGCUGAGGCAGGAGAAUUGCUUGAACCCAGGAGGUGGAGGUUGCAGUGAGCCAAGACUGCGCCACCUCACUCCAGCCUGGCAACAGAGUGAGACUCCAUCUCAAAAAAAAAACAAAAACAAAAACAAAAAGUAACUGGGUGUGGUGGCCCGCACCUAUAGUCCCAGCUACUCGGGAGGCUGAGGCAGGAGAAUCACUUGAACCCAGGAGGCGGAGGUUGCAGUGAGCCGAGAUCGUGCCACUGUACUCCAGACUGGCGACAGAGCCAGACUCCCUCUCAAAAAAAACAAAAAACAAAAAAGAACCAGAAAAUGUAACUUUCUUCCUAUGGUCAUAAAUCUGGUGUAAGCAGGCAAGUCAAAGCGAUGUUGAAGCCAAUGGAUCUUGCAAAGGCAUGGCAAUGUUUGCACAAGGAUGGGAUAUAGUAAGUUAAAAUACAUUGGCUUUUUCCAAACGGGCUCAAACUGGAAGAGAAGGUCUAAGCAGAGCAUGUGCUGCUGUCAGGAGGGUUCCUCAGCAGGAGACAGGGCACCCCAGGGGUGCAUAUUUAAUAAAAACUUACAAUAUGCAGGUUUUGGGACAUGAAGGAAACAUUUAACCUGUCCUGUCCAACACGGCAGCCACUUGUCACAUGCGGCAGUUGAAUACUUGGAAUAUGGCUAGUCUGAAUAAAGAU